UGGGGAAUAUUGCACAAUGGGGGAAACCCUGAUGCAGCGACGCCGCGUGAGCGAAGAAGGCUUUCGAGUCGUAAAGCUCUGUCCUAUGAGAAGAUAAUGACGGUAUCAUAGGAGGAAGCCCUGGCUAAAUACGUGCCAGCAGCCGCGGUAAUACGUAUGGGGCGAGCGUUGUCCGGAAUUAUUGGGCGUAAAGGGUACGUAGGUGGUUUUUUAAGUCAGGUGUCAAAGCGUGGAGCUUAACUCCAUUAAGCACUUGAAACUGAAAGACUUGAGUGAAGGAGAGGAGAGUGGAAUUCCUAGCGUAGCGGUGAAAUGCGUAGAUAUGAGGAGGAAUACCGGUGGCGAAGGCGACUUUCUGGACUUUUACUGACGCUCAGGUACGAAAGCGUGGGGAGCAAACAGG
rnacentral:rRNA from 1 species